UGUUAGGCAAAGGAAUUAAUUCAUUCUCUCCGUAGCCGGGACUUUCUUCCAGGGUUUACUAGAAAUUUAUCUCCACAGGUGUUCUAAGUCUCAGUUCAGCCAGGUUGCCUCCCUGAGCUGGGACAUCGCAGCAAGCUGGCAUGCAUCUUAGCAUGAACCUGGAGCCAGGAUCCUGGGAUCUCUAUGAUGAAAUUCUAGAAGCUGCUCUGAUUCACUUGAAAACGAUGAAAGGAAGAAAGCCUAUUGUAAGAAUUGAGCACAACUUUUGAAAGAGGUCGUCUCUUCAAUUAUAAACUCGGUGGGUCCAGCACAGAGAGAGGAUCACAGAGCUCAAGAAAAGGUGAAGGAGUGGCCAGACCCGAGGGAGAAGAUGAAAACUGGACAAAGCUGGUUUUCACUCAAGGGCUCCAGAAGGGCAGGUUGGCAGGAGAAACUAACAAACCUUUCUGAAAAGGAAGUGUAAGAGUAACCAGAGAGGGUAAAUAAGGGAACACACCUUCAGUCAAGGCUGCUUUAACCAAGACAACAGCCAUUAGCAAAAUGAUAAUAUAAUAAAUCAAUGCCGUGGAUCCAAGGUGGUUUCGAAGUCAAAAGCUUCUGGUAGGUGUCCCAGCAUUUUCUGGGAAGAAGUUUGCCUUCCAAAGUCAAAAGCAAAAAUGCUUACAAAAUGCAUGUGUCAUUAAGGCCCCUGGGCACUGCAGAAAUGCAUUAGCUAUGGGGUUGCUAAACGUUUCUUGCAAACUGAAGUACAGGAAAUGAGGGGUGUGGCGCAGCACAGCCCCAGGAGGACCUUCAGGGUUGAGAGUGUUCUGUACCUUGCAAUAUCAGGGAUGUAGCGCCUAGCCACAAGUGGUCAGUGAGCGCCGAUGCAAGGCUAGUAUUUAACUUUACUUCACAAUGUGAACCAGCUUCCUAUUUAAAUAGUCAUGUUUUUAAAGUAGCUUUCAUUUUUGAAAUGUGAGCUGUGGAUCACGAAUUCUUGUUUGACUAAAAGGAUUCAACUUCUGCAGGGGUGGGUGGACUUCUACAGAGGUGGGUGGAUUUUUGUAAAGGGCACUGGGUUACCACUCUUUUUGACACCAAAGCCUUUUCUUAGAUUUCAAUUUUCUUUCCUCACCUGAAAUGAACAGUCGCCAAAGGACUACGAAGUAGUUUUAAGUUUUCUUUGACAAGUCUUGCUCAGUGGCCUCAAUCUCAUUAUAUAAUACGACAUGUGUUUGGUGCGUCACCUCUGGUGUCCUCAAUCUCAUUGUGUAAUAUCGCAUGGGUUUGGUGGGUCAGCUCGGCUAGCAGUACCAUUUAAUGUCAUCAGGGUCUUUGAGGUGUCUACCAUAGGGGGUGGUGAUGAGUACCCUACGGAAUUCUAUACAUGGGGUACCAGUCUUCUUUGGGGAUCACCGCCUCUGCCACUCAGUGCUUAGUAGGUGUAGUUCUAAAUUAUUUGUUCUGUUUAAUGUUCAACUAUGAAGUCAUAUACCAAUAGACUAGCCAUAAAAGUAUUUAAAAUACCGCAUCUAAUAUUUUGUUUAUCUUGGUUAUCAACUUGACAUCCUUGGGAACAGAGAGCCUCAACUGAGGGACCACACCCAUUGAGUUAGCCUGUAGGUGCGUCUGUGGAACCUUUUCUUAAUUGUCAACUGGUGUAGUUGUCUGGCCUACUGUGAGACGUCUAAUCCCUAGGCAGCAACAGAAAACAAACCAGAAUGCUGUUGUCAAUGGAUGGUCUUCUGCAGUAUACUAAAAAUCAUUAUUUUUAUGUAAGCUUUUGUUACUUGAGGUUUUCAUUUGUGCCCUCGUCAUCUGUGGUGAGAGUCCUAGGUCUUCAGGCUCACAGAUCACGGCCUUUGUCAGCACCUGAUAAUCCCAGUGUGCAGUGUGUUGUAAACUUGGUAAAGAAAUUGGAAUGCAUUCUGAGCUGAUUAAGUACUAUGACUAGAUAGGUUAAGAGUUGAAGUCAUACUUUAAUCAUAUCACUGGUCUAUGUGUGAAGUUAUGUAUGUGAAAUGUAUAAAAUAUUUGCUACCACUCUAUGUCUUGUUGGUCUUAUAGCUAGCUGUUUAUAUCUUAGAUAGUCUUCUAUAA